CAGCCAAUUUAUCAUCAGUUGAAGAUGUUUAGUCCUGUUGAGCGAAGUUGUUAUGAGAGGUUGUAAAGAAAUAUUGUUUAUAAACUAUAUUACCAAAUGCAUUAAAACUUAAAAUAUGUUUUUUUUUCAGGAUCUUACGUUUGCGAUAUGACCUUACUGUAAUGUGAUUUGAUUAGAGUCCAUCAUGCAUCAUCAAAAUGGAGAACUGAGCUGGAAAUGUUGAUUUAGCUGUGCCUGUCAUGAUCCCAUGAUUCCAGGGUAGUAUUAAUUUUCUCUUGGUCAAAUGACUUCAUCUGUCACUGUUAAUGAACAAAAUAGUCACUCAGUCACACAGAUCAUAGAUCUACUCAGUUAUCCAGAUCUAUUUUUACUGAAUUUUGUAUAAAUCUCAGCAACAGGAUUGUUCUUUUUGGCUGCUGAAUAUUUAAAUACUUCUGCUCCUGUGAUUUGCAUAAACACUUUUGCUUUCACUUCAUACUCUGGCUUCACAAGUUCUCUAGUGAGUCCUUGCAGAUAAACCUGUCCUACAAAGAGCUAGCACCUUGCAUAUGGAUUCACCCUUUAAAUUUAUGUCAUGAAUCCCUGCAAACUACCAGUUUGUUUAGAUCAGUCCUGCACAUCGGCUUGGAGGAGUUUUAUCCUGUUCCUCAGUACAGAACAGCUUCAACUCUGGGGUGUUGGUGGGUUUCCUCACAUGAACUGCUCGCUUCAGGUUCUUCCACAACAUUUCUACUGGAUUAAGGCUUUUAACUUCCUGUGUCAACAAACCCAGAACUACAAAACAAGAAGUUCAGCAGACACGUCCGUUUUGAACAUCCAGUAACAUUUAAAUUAAUUCUUAAAACUCAGUGUAGUGUUUUAUCAGUUACAGAGGAGGACGUUCACUCAGUGUGGAUUCUUACUGAAAAAUGGACACCGUGCUGGACACCUUGAGAGAAAAACUACACGAGGAAACUGAAAACAUUUUAGAAAUAGUAAAACAAGAGCUCGAACACCAAGAAGAGGAGAUUGAGCGUAAAAGACUGAAACUGGAAAAGAAAAAGGAAAAGAUUGAGAGGAUGAAACAAGAACUACAAGAGAAAGAUGGAGAGAUAGAGCAACUGAAAGAGGAACUAGAAAAUAAAGAUGGAGAGAUAGAGAGAAUGAAACAGGAACUAGAGGACAAGGUUGGGGAGAUAUGUGGUAUAUUUGAUUAUUAAUGUAAUGUGAUGCUAAUUCACAUUCUCACCAGUGCAGAUUUUUUAGAACUCCUGAAGAAACGGGUGUGUACAGUUCUGAUUAGUUAAGAUUAGGGUCAAAAUGAGGAUAAUUUGUUUUUAGAUUGAUUAGUAAAAAUGGGCUAAGUCUCAUUCUCACAGCAGGAUGUGUGUGCGAGAGAGAAUCCAUACUGCACAUGUACUACUUCCAUUCUGUCUACAGGAGAAUAAAUAAAUCCCCAGUAAUUUGGGAAGGUGUGGUCUGGUGUCCUUUAUAGGAACACAAUGCAGAGGGAAAGAUUGUGUUUUUACAAACUGGUAGAAAUAAUACUGAUAGUCUAUCACAAUCACAAUAUACAGCAUUUUUAUAUAAAAAAAUAAUUAAAGAAAAAUGUAGGAAGAAGGAACAGUUAUAUUUCUAUUGGAGAGUGGGCAGCGUUACUGAGUUCUGGGAUUUAUUGUUCAGUUUAUUAUCGAGAGAACAGUUUCUGAGGCCGCAUCAUGUUACUUCAAGGCCAAAGGUUAAGUAAACAAGGAAGAAACAAACAAGGGGCUACUCUAGUAAUAAUUCAGUUGAGUAAAAGUUAAAUGAAUGCUUAAAAAAAUAAUUAAAGUAAUAAGAAAUAACGCGUCUGGUGAAAAGUUUAAAGUUUGUUACAACAAUUAAUCCAAAAAAUGUUCUCUAACAAUGCAUCUGUGAACAAUUAUAGUAUAAACUAUCUAAAUUUGCUGAAGUGAACCCCAGCUCACUUAAAAACGGUCAAGUGGAUAUAAAAAGUUUACACACCCCUGUUAAAAGUGCAGGUUUAUCUGAUGUAAAAAAAUGUAAGAUAAAUCAUGUCAGAUCUUUUUCCACCUUUAAAGUGAAACAGCAACCAACAAAAUUCAAGUAAAAAACAAAUAGAAACCUUUUAGGAGAAAAAAAUACAAACGUGCACAUACUGUCUUUUAUUAUUAUUGUUUUUGAAUAUUGAUUAAAUUAAAUAUGACUUCUACUGUCAUAUGUGAAUAAAUAAUGAAUACAUAUGUGAAUAAAUGCAGUGAAUACAUUAAUUAUAUAAAGUUUAUAUUAUAGAAAUAAAUUAUAUUAAAGUACUCUUUAUAAAUAUUUACUACAGUAGAGUAGUAUGAUAUAAUUAUACGUAAAAAGUAUCAUUAAUUAAGUGAAACAUACCAUAACAGUGAACAAUGUGUUUAAUUACUGUAAUGAGUCCAUGAUUUCACAGGGUUACACCUCAUGGUUUUACAUUUGCUUUGUCUUCUGAAACCUCGCCCUCUGCAUUUAAACACAUUUUGGAGAAAAUGAAACUGAGGGGAGGAAACGUACACGAGCAGCUCUCAGCAGUGUGAGGUGUAAUACACCUGAAGACUGUGUUUUCAUUAAGAAAUGGCUGAUGACUCAUCAGAUGUCUGCUUUUAACUUCCUGUGUCAACAAACCCAGAACUACAAAACAAGAAGUUCAGCAGACACGUCCGUUUCGAACAUCCAGUAACAUUUAAAUUAAUUCUUAAAACUCAGUGUAGUGUUUUAUCAGGUGAGUCAUUACGUCCAUAAUGUAAAAUAGUCUUUAAUUCUUCUAACUGUGUAUUUUUUACUGACUCUGAUUUUUCUGUAUAGUUACAGGGGAGGACGUUCACUCAGUGUGGAUUCUUACU